UACGAAGGGGGCUAGCGUUGCUCGGAUUGACUGGGCGUAAAGGGCGCGUAGGCGGUUUGCAUGGUCAGACGUGAAAUUCCUGGGCUUAACCUGGGGGCUGCGUUUGAUACAUGCAGGCUUGAGUUCGGAAGAGGGUCGUGGAAUUCCCAGUGUAGAGGUGAAAUUCGUAGAUAUUGGGAAGAACACCGGUGGCGAAGGCGGCGACCUGGUCCGAUACUGACGCUGAGGCGCGAAAGCGUGGGGAGCAAACAGG
rnacentral:rRNA from 1 species